AACUUGGAUCUCAUGCUGUUUAGGAAGUUGGAAUUGUGACUCUGCUCAGAGAAUCCAGCGUCCUCGUAACUGUGUAGGUCAUCUUAUAAGAAUAAUUCGCUUCUCUGAUCAAAGGUCUUUUGGAAUUAUAAAACAGUUUGACAGCAUCACCAAAAAACAUUUGAUCAUGUUUGAAGAUGGUAGUGUUGAGUACGUUGACAUGUCAACGGAAGAUUGGGAAUUUUGUAACUUUCUUGUGUAAUCAGGUCUUAGAUGUCAGGAUUAAGAUAGACAUGAUUCAACGUCUGCAGCAGAGAUGCGAUAUGUUGUUCAACAUCCAAAUUGCAAUGGUUCGCUAGCUUUGUUUAUGUUGUAACAAAUGUAGCAUGUUUCUUCUCCCAAUUUCAUUUGUUGGUACAAGUCUGCUGAUGUUAGUACUCUCCUUUGGAGAUGGAAGUUCUGAUGAUUCUUUCCCAUGUAUAAACAUAACAAAUGUAACAAUAGCUCACCCCGUUCCCAAUUGUAUCGGAUGUCCCUGAUAAACAAGUUGACUAUAUGGUUCAUAAUUCAUUAACUAGAGAGAAAAGAGAAAUUCCUUAGCUCUCUAUUUUUGUACCUUGA